rnacentral:rRNA from 1 species
GACGAACGCUGGCGGCGUGCUUAACACAUGCAAGUCGAACGGAAAGGCCUGCUUUCCCUUGUGGAUUGCGGGUACUCGAGUGGCGAACGGGUGAGUAACACGUGAGUGAUCUGCCCCCAACUUGGGUAUAAGCCUGGGAAACUGUGUCUAAUUCCCGAUAGGACUGCAGGGUGGUGCCUGUGGUGGAAAACGAUUUUCUAGUGGUUGGGGAUGAGCUCGCGGCCUAUCAGCUUGUUGGUGGGGUAAUGGCCUACCAAGGCGGCGACGGGUAGCCGGACUGAGAGGGGGGACGGCCACAUUGGGACUGAGACAAGGCCCAGACUCCUACGGGAGGCAGCAGUGGGGAAUAUUGCACAAUGGGCGGAAGCCUGAUGCAGCGACGCCGCGUGGGGGAUGACGGCCUUCGGGUUGUAAACUCCUUUCGACCGCGAGGAAGCCACCUGGUUGGAAGGGUGGUGACGGUAGUGGUAGAAGAAGCACCGGCUAACUACGUG